UGUUUGAGCUGGGAAAAGUUUCGCUUUUAGUCGCUUCUUACUGCUGUAAGCAAUCACAUACUGAGAUGCUAGUUGUCCUGUUUGCCAAGCACACUUGCCAUUACAGGGUAUCUAAAAGUCAGCACUCUAAUAGCCUUACACUGCCUCGCUUGCUUAACUAUUUUGCCUUUAGUGCUCAAUCGCUGAGCUAAGUUGAGCGAAAGCGUGGUAAUUCUUGACGUUUGUAUACCCUCUCUGUCAACAAGCGCAGCAGCAGAGCAAAUGUAAACUUGGCUAAUUGCCAUAACACACAAUUCGCAAUGCUUAAAGAGCGUAGAGAACGAGCGCACUGUUAGCCGUAGUGCGCUAUGGGGCACAGGUUGUUACCGCGUGCUGUUGCGUCAUGUUGUUGUUUGCAUUUGCAUCGCUGCUCAGCUGCUUGCUGGCAGCUCCAGUUGAGAAGUCUUGUGGCGAGAACGAGGAGCUUGUUUGUUUGCCCUGCUUCGAGGAGACCUGCACGGUGCCCUAUAACUUCGACGACAGCUGCUUCAAUACCUGCAAGCUGGGCUGCGGCUGCAAGCCUGGCCACUUGCGUCUCGAUUCCACUAAUCAGUGUGUGUCCAUGUAUGAGUGCUAUAGCAUAUUCGAAGAAAUGGCUUAACUGUAUUAAAGCGUGAGGCUUGAGCGGAAACUUUUUGCUAGUUUUUAAGGGAAGACGUGGGCCAAAUGUUUAUAGCCAUGCACGCAGCUCAGUUGCCAUUAUUUCUGCUACUCAUUUUAAGCCUUUGUUUGAGCCUGCACGCAGAGAACGCGCAGGUGGUGCAGGAGGAGAAUCAAUUUGAUGCCAUGGCGGAAAUGCACGAAAUAAGGCCAAGAAUUCUUUGCGUACGCGAAAUCACCGGAGCGUUAUAUUUGUGUUUCUAAAAGAAGAGAAUUUGGUUUGUUGAUGGUGUCUUCAAAAAUAAGCAAUAAACGGAAUUGUGUGUACGUCUACAAUUUUUUUGUGGAUUCUUCAAUUUAUUUUGUGCAUUUGCGUAGCAUUUUAUAUCCCUGGUAGUACGUAUUUUUCCACAAUAUCCAUUUGCUGUUCUAUUUCGUUUCCUUUUUUAUGGCCAUUCAGCAUCAAAUCUUGAGCAAGAACAUUUUGUUCCUUUACAAAAAGUUUUAUUGUUUACUUUUUGGUGUGCUGAAAAUUUACGAGUGUUGGCAGACAUGUGUGUGUCUGUGUGUGCGUAUGUGUGUGUGUUGUACACACUAGAACAGUUGUUAGUCCUUGUGCUUUAUAAAGCGCACAAUCUUAAAUCUUAAAUCUGUGUGCCGCUCUCUCUCUUUCUCUCUCGUAAAUAUUAAUUUACUUAACUCAAACUUGCGGUUUUAUUUGACUUUUGUUUUCUCUCAGUGGUUUUUUAGUAGCCUACUUUGCACAUAGAUAACAAAUAUUAUGACUAUCGUAGACAUAAACCAAAUUGCUUAUCUCGUUUCCUACAUUUCCUCGCUCCACGCUGAUUUUUAUUGCUGCUUGCUGCCGACCAGACCG